UUAUUGUUCACGCACACCAAUCCCCUUCAUCAAUUUCAUUCCAAAGUACAUAAAUGCCAUUGACAAGGCAGAUGAAGCACAAUCUUCCUUUUCACAUUUUUCACAGAAGUUCUGUACAUAUGGCUACUCCUUUCAUCUUGAUUGUUUUCUGUCUGAUUACAUCCCCUCCGUCUGCAUCUUCAUCAUCAUCAACUCAUCAUAAUGAUUAUAUCACUUUAAAUGAAGGAUCAUCUCUCUCCGUAGAGAGGCCAGAUCAUGUUUUGAUUUCACCUAAUGCCAUUUUCACAGCUGGUUUUUACCCAGUUGGGGAAAAUGCUUAUUCCUUUGCUAUAUGGUUCACUGAACCCUCUUGUUCUAACUGUCGCACGGUAGUCUGGAUGGCUAACCGAGAUGCACCCAUUAAUGGUAGAAACUCAAAGCUAUCUCUGCUUAAAACUGGAAAUCUCAUAUUGACUGAUGCUGGUAAAUCAGUUGUUUGGGCCUCCAACACUUUCUCGCUCUCUUCAUCUUCAUUGCAGCUUUAUGAUACUGGUAAUCUCGUUCUAAUCACUACUACAAACCGUGUCAUUCUAUGGCAAAGCUUUGAUGCACCUACAGAUACCCUUCUUCCUCUGCAGCCACUCAACAGAUACUCACUUCUUGUUUCUUCAAGAAGCUUGACAAACUUUUCUUCUGGUUUCUACAAGCUAGCUUUCGAUGACGAUAAUGUUCUUCGUCUUGUUUAUGAUGGUCCUGAAGUUUCAAGUGCUUUCUGGCCAGCCAAUUGGCUUCUGAGGCGGGAAGCUGGGAGGUCAUCGUACAACAGCAGCAGAAUCGCUUUACUUGACGCAUUUGGCAAUUUUACUUCAUCAGAUAAUUUCAAUUUCUUCUCUGCGGAUUAUGGAGUUCAACUUCAGCGAAGAUUGACCCUUGAUUUUGAUGGUAAUCUUCGACUGUACAGCAGAGAGAAUGAGAACGGAAGCUGGGUAAUUUCAUGGCAAGCCUUUGCUCAACCGUGCAAGAUUCAUGCAGCUUGCGGACCUAAUAGUGUGUGUAAAUAUGUUCCUGGCUUUGGUAGGAAAUGUUCUUGCCUCCCAGGAUAUAAAAUUAAAAAUCCUGCUGAUUGGUCUUUAGGAUGCGAACCAGAAAUUUUGGUUUCUAGUGUUGAAACCGAGGUUAUAUUCAUUCGAUUACCUCACGUUGAAAUGGAUGGUUAUGAAUUUGGUUACUUUGAGAAUUAUACCCUGGAGAUGUGCAAGGAAGUAUGCCUACGAAGAUAUGAUUGCAAAGGUUUCGAGUUAAGAUACGUCUUCCAGAACCACCCUGACAACGUUCCUUAUUGUUUCCCAAAGUUACAAUUGCUAAAUGGAUAUACUACGCCAAAUUUCAGAGGAGAUUUUUACUUGAAAGUGCCAAAAACAAGUCCUUACAAAGACUGGUCAGCUAAAGAACUCACUCUAGAUUGUCCUGCUGAAGCUACUAAGCAGCUUGAAAGAAGGUAUGUUAAAUCUGAUGGAAACAGGUCAGAAAAAUUCUUGCUUGGUUUUGUUACUGCAGUUGGGAUAGUUGAGAUUCUUGCCAUGGUUUUGGUGUGGCUUUACUUCAUUGGAAGCCGGCAAAAGAUAGAUGCAACUUCUGAAGACUACUUUCUUGUUGCUACUGGUUUCAGAAGAUUUACCUACUCAGAGCUUAAGGAAGCAACAAGAAAUUUCAGUGAAGAAAUUGGCAGAGGAGCUACCGGAAUUGUCUAUAAAGGGAUAUUAGAUGAUCAGCGAGUUGCAGCAAUCAAACGACUACACGAGCUACCGGAAUUGUCUAUAAAGGGAUAUUAGAUGAUCAGCGAGUUGCAGCAAUCAAACGACUACACGAUGCUAGCGAAGGAAAAGCUGAAUUUCUAGCAGAAGUAA
rnacentral:misc_RNA from 1 species